UACGUAGGCAGCGAGCGUUGUUCGGAGUUACUGGGCGUAAAGAGUGCGUAGGCGGUUUUCUAAGUUUGGUGUGAAAUCUCCCGGCUUAACUGGGAGGGUGCGCCGAAAACUGGAAGGCUUGAGUAUGGGAGAGGUAAGCGGAAUUCCUGGUGUAGCGGUGAAAUGCGUAGAUAUCAGGAGGAACACCUGCGGUGUAGACGGCUUACUGGACCAUAACUGACGCUGAGGCACGAAAGCCAGGGGAGCGAACGGG
rnacentral:rRNA from 1 species